rnacentral:rRNA from 1 species
CACGUAGUUAGCCGUGACUUAUUCAUCAGGUACCGUCAUUAUCUUCCCUGAUAAAAGAGGUUUACAACCCGAAGGCCGUCAUCCCUCACGCGGCGUUGCUGCGUCAGACUUUCGUCCAUUGCGCAAAAUUCCCGACUGCUGCCUCCCGUAGGAGUCUGGGCCGUGUCUCAGUCCCAGUCUGGGUGAUCGUCCUCUCAGACCACCUACCGAUCGUCGCCUUGGUGAGCCGUUACCCCACAACGAGCUAAUCGGACGCAGGCCCCUCCGAAGCGCCUUGCGGCUUUACUGGUGUGAUCGAACACACCACCACAUGCGGUAUUAGCCACCCUUUCGGGCAGUUAUUCCCCACUUCGGGGCAGGUCACCUACGCGUUACUCAGCCGUCCGCCACUAACACUUAGAGCAAGCCCUAGGUGUCCGUUCGACUUGCAUGUCUCAUGCACGCCGCCAGCGUUUAUCCUGAGCCAGGAUCAAACUCUA